GCUUCUAUGAUCUUAGGA
rnacentral:snRNA from 1 species